GAUUAUUUACUUUAAUUUCUUUUCUGUUUCUUCUAGUUGCCUAAGGCCUGUGAUAGCAGGAUAUGUGGAGAGAGUUCUGAAGUAAAAUACAAAAAACUUGCAUGCUGAAUUCCCGUAGUAGCUGACUAUUUGCAAAGGGGGCACAGUCCUGAGACAUGACAAGGCAGGAGGUGGCUGUCAGGGGUUGUGACCUCCAGGGCGUGCGCAUCUGGGAUGAUUGAGAAACACGCUAUAAGAAAGAUGAAUAGGCGAAGAAAUUAAACACUGAUGUCUGUAGCCCUGUAUGUGCACCUGGUGAAGGGGUGCCUUCAUUCUGCCUCCAGGACGUCUGAGCCCAGACGUCUCGCCCAGCCUGGCAGCAGGAAGCCUUGAUGUAGCCUCGAAGAUGAGAGAAGGCAGCUGCAGAUGAAUGAAUGCAUGAAACUGGAGAGUGAUGCAGACAGAAGAGGAAUCUGCCUGUAACCAUCUUGUGGGGUUCUGUUGUUUUGUCUUGGUCAAAUAACAGCC
rnacentral:lncRNA from 1 species